rnacentral:rRNA from 1 species
AUUGAACGCUGGCGGCAUGCCUUACACAUGCAAGUCGAACGGUAACAGGUUAAGCUGACGAGUGGCGAACGGGUGAGUAAUGUAUCGGAACGUGCCCAGUUGUGGGGGAUAACUACUCGAAAGAGUGGCUAAUACCGCAUGAGACCUGAGGGUGAAAGCGGGGGAUCGCAAGACCUCGCGCAAUUGGAGCGGCCGAUAUCAGAUUAGCUAGUUGGCGGGGUAAAAGCCCACCAAGGCGACGAUCUGUAGCUGGUCUGAGAGGACGACCAGCCACACUGGGACUGAGACACGGCCCAGACUCCCACGGGAGGCAGCAGUGGGGAAUUUUGGACAAUGGACGCAAGUCUGAUCCAGCCAUGCCGCGUGCGGGAAGAAGGCCUUCGGGUUGUAAACCGCUUUUGUCAGGGAAGAAACGGGUUUCUCUAAUACAGAGAUCUAAUGACGGUACCUGAAGAAUAAGCACCGGCUAACUACGUGCCAGCCGCCGCCGUAAAAC